rnacentral:rRNA from 1 species
AGAGUUUGAUCCUGGCUCAGGACGAACGCUGGCGGCAUGCAUAAUACAUGCAAGUCGAACGCUGAAACACUCUGCUUGCAGAGUGUGGAUGAGUGGCGAACGGGUGAGUAACACGUGGGGAAUCUGCCUAUAAGUGGGGGAUAACAUUCGGAAACGGAUGCUAAUACCGCAUAUAUUCAAAAACCGCAUGGUUUCUGAAAGAAAGACGGCUUUGCUGUCGCUUAUAGAUGAUCCCGCGGCGUAUUAGUUAGUUGGUGGGGUAAUGGCCUACCAAGACCAUGAUACGUAGCCGACCUGAGAGGGUGAUCGGCCACACUGGGACUGAGACACGGCCCAGACUCCUACGGGAGGCAGCAGUAGGGAAUCUUCCACAAUGGGUGCAAACCUGAUGGAGCAAUGCCGCGUGAAUGAAGAAGGUCUUCGGAUCGUAAAGUUCUGUUAUUAGAGAAGAACAAGUCGAGGAGUAACUGUCUCGACUUUGACGGUACCUAACCAGAAAGUCACGGCUAACUACGUUGCCAGCAGCCGCGGUAAUAC